UCACGAUUUCUCUAUAAUUUACGUCGUCGUAAUGACGACGAUCGUCUCCGGUGAGUUCUAACAGUUUUCAGACGAGGAAGAUGAUCACUUCAUGCACCAGUCCUCCAUCAAAUCUGAGAAUUUCCGAUGCUGAUGAAUCUGAGUUAGAGAUUGAGAUAACCAACAAUGGCCGUUCCAAGGACAUCAAUGUAUCUAGACCCGACGAUGCUCCUUUCCACGACAAAAAUGGUGGUGGUUCAAUUGGUAAUUGCACGCAUGAACUCUGUCUGCGUCUUCGAACAAACUCUCGAUCUAAUCCAAUUCGAUUACCACUUGUCUCAAUUUCAAACCAAUUAGAUCGCAUCUUUCAUCGGACCUCUCGUCACGAGGAAGAGGGGAAGAAGAAGAAGAUUCAUUUGCUCCAGGAUAGUUGUCGCAUCUGAUUUAUAUCAGGGAAACACGUCUCUUGCCGGAAACCAUAUGAACCAACAUAGAAAAAAACAGGAGAAACUUUUUUUAACAGAUUCUCUUAGAGCCAUGGAUGUGCCUAGCUCUUGGGAUGCUUUAUGGAAACAGUUUUCAUGUGAAUCCCACAUGAUAGAAAGAUUGAAGUUCAGCUCGACGAGCAUAUGCAUUCUUAUC